rnacentral:lncRNA from 1 species
GGUUCAGGCCUAGGCGCGGGGCAGGACGGGACCGGGCAAGCAGUUAAGAAGGGAAGAUGAACAUAAAGUAGGGAAGAGCAAAAAUGAGUUGGAACCUAAGACACGAGCUGGUCAUUCUUUCACUGUCUCCAACUUUAAAGAUAUGAGUAUCCUUGCUAGAGGAGCUGACACUUUUUGCCACAGGACUAGACACACACACAGCUCAGGAAUCAAAAAAGGUGAAGGAAGACUCAGGGAAAAGCUUCUGCCCCAUCCCAACAAGGUGAACCAGCUGAUUGGUGACAAAGUAGAUGAGCCGCAGUAGCACCUAGUGUCCCUGCACCACCGUUUCAAGUAUAAAACUGGAGGGAUGCUUCAGUUCUCCCCUUCAAGACUUACACAACCAUGUCUCUGUUGGGCUAUUCUAACCAGAAACAAAAGGAAAGGAAAUUCUGGGAAACAUAGUUUAGCUUAGCAAAGUUGAUAUAUUACAAAAUUACCACUGUCCACUCUGCAUCGAGUUGACAUCCAUACAGACCUCUUUAAAACACACUUUCAAAAUAAAGUCCACACCCUACACAUAAGCUAUCUCUAGAGAAAUUUGAAGUCUGUUGUGCACUGAGGAUAACCACAACAACAAACUGUAAACCUAGCCCAAUUUCUGACUAGACUGAUACCACCGAACCACUGCUAUGCACUCAAGAGCACUAAAGGCCUAGCAGAAGGAAAGACACACUCAUCUCCAAGCAUAAAAACAAUCUUUACUUCAUACUGUGAAGAGAGAAUUGAAAAAAUAAUUUAAGCAAAAAAAAUACAACAUGACUAACUUUUAACAGAAAGAAAAAAAGACGCAUACAGAAAGGCAAGAAAAAACACAGUCCAAAGAGAUAAAACAAUCAUUAGAACCAGAUUCAUAAGACAUAGACAUUAGAAAUAUGAGAGAAUUUUAAAUAACUGUGAUUAAUGUGAUGAAGGCCCUAAGGGGAAAGGUGAACAAAAUGCAAGCUCAGAUGGGUGAUUUUAGCAAAUAGAUGGAAACUAUCAGGAAAAAUAAAAUGGAAACUAUAAAAAUAAAAAAUAUAAUAAUAGAGAUGAAGAAUGCCCUCCAUGGGCCCAUUAGGAGACUGAACACAGUUGAGGAAAAAAUCAGACUUGAAGGUAGGUAAAUAGAAAUUGCUGAAACACACACACACACACACACAAAAAGAGUGACAGAAACAGAACACAGCAUCCAAGACUGGUGGGAAAAUAUCAACAUCAAAUCAAGAAAUAGGCGCAGUGGCUCACCCCUGUAAUCCCAGCACUUGGGGAGGCCGAGGCAGGCAGAUCACGAGGUCAGGAGAUCGAGACCAUCCUAGCUAACGCAGUGAAACCCCGUCUCUACUAAAAAUUCAAAAAAAUUAGCCGGGCAUGGUAGCAGGCACCUGUCGUCCCAGCUACUCGGGAGGCUGAGGUAAGAGAAUUGCGUGAACCCGGGAGGCGGAGCUUGCAGUGAGCUGAGAUCACACCACUGCACUCCAGCCUGGGCGACAGAGCAAGACUCUAUCUCAAAAAAAAAAAAAAAAUCAAGAAAUAAUGGCUGAGAAUUUCCAAAAUUUGUAAGACACCAAACCAAUCCAAGGAGCUCAGAGAACACAGAGCAGGAUAAAUUCUUUAAAAAGAAACUAAGCUUAUUGUAUUCAAACUAAGCUUAUUGUAUUGAUACCUGGUAGUUAUAACUUACCAAAUACACUGCCCAACAUCUCCAGAUGAUCUAUUAUUUCUGAAAGUUUCCUUUAUUACAUUUCUUACUUCAGGGAGAUAUAGCCUUCGCUUCAUGUUAUGGUUGGUGCAGUCAGUAUUCUCAGAAAGAAAGUACUGGUUCCAUUUUACCUCCAUCUUUUGUUUCCUGUCAGAAAACCUACCAUACCACCAAGUACUCCUUCUCUACACUGCCUCUGAUAUUUAAGUAAUUUGAGAAUUCUGUUGAGACUAUCUCCCUUUUUUGGUAUGAUGAAUCUGGUCCUAAAUUGCAUGCCAAAGACUUUGAGAACUAAACUGUAGACCCAGAUCUCAUGUCCCAGACUGGCCUUUUGUUACCCACACAAUGAAUGGGUUAAAUUGCUUGGCAGGGGACAGUCCAAUGACCACAACCAAGGAGGAUUUCCCAGGGGGAUUUUAUUACUUGCGAUAAGUAAGGAGGACACUGGGAAUAAUUCCCCAAAGCAAUGC